UCAGCUGAUAUAAAAGGAGACUUCGUGCCAGACUUCAUAUGAAAAUCUUCCUCUUUCAGCCCAUUUCUACCAAAAUACCAAGGCAGUCUUAAAUACGACACAUUUUCAAUGGAGUUUGGCACAACUUUCUGUUCAACCUGCAGCAUCUGAAGCACUGCCCAAUAAAGUAAAAUAAACAUUACAAAGUCAGAGGACAGCUGGUAGGAAACACAUGCUCUCAAAUCAUUAUGUACCUUGUACUUUAAAGCAUUAAAGUAUUUUAACACUGCUGUAUGCACACACACACACUGCACACACACACACACACACACACACACACACACACACACACACAACANNNNNNNNNNNNNNNNNNNNNNNNNNNNNNNNNNNNNNNNNNNNNNNNNNNNNNNNNNNNNNNNNNNNNNNNNNNNNNNNNNNNNNNNNNNNNNNNNNNNUUGUACUAAAGUACAGUAGUUGAGUAAAUGUACUUAGUUACUUUCCUCCACUGGCUGCAGCUUCAUGCCGCCAUCUAGUGGACUGAUAGUAGAAGUCCAGCAGCUGAUGGCAGCUUCCUCUGCCUCACACUGCUGUCUGACUGCAUUCAACUGACACUGAUAUGAAAGAGAGAAUAAGAGCCAAUCACUGGAGGAGCCGCUGAUCUUCUUACAGCAGAAAUGAUGGAAAGGAUGAUUUCAGUUGAUGUGCACAUGAUGAUUUGUGUUUCCUCUCCAGAGCACAGUGUGUGUGAGCUGAUGUGGAUGUGAGUUCAGCAGCAUGAGUCAGUGUGAGGACAGAGAGGGGACGGAGCCCCUCCCUCUAAAAGCACUCUGUGGGGACCUGAACCUGGACCUGGACCUGAACCUGAACCUAGCUGUGUGUCCUUCAAGAGCGAUCGGUCAAAAGAUGCUAUUAUUGAAUUUAAACAAAGACAUUUGUCUCACAAAAGGAUCUAUAGGAGACCAGACUCUACUGGACCUGGACCUGGACCCAGCUGUGUGUCCUUCAAGAGCGACCUGUCAAAAGGGAUCAUCACUGACUUUAAAAGAAGACAAUCAUGUGACAUAAAGUAAGAUGUUGUGAUACUUUAAUGAUUCCUUUUUAUAUUGGGGCUGAAACGACUCCUCCAGGAACUGGAUGACUAAAGUUCUUUGCAUCGAGGCUUCAUGUAAUCCAUACAAGUACAUACAGCCAUACAGCGCACUCUGUGUUGCACAGAUUAUCACUGUCACACAACGCACUUUGGAGAGAGAAAAUAACGAGGGGGGAAGAGAAGAGACAGAAAGUGUCCAAAGUUUGUGACCAUUUCAAUCAGAAAACAAAAUGCAAACUCUGUACAGUGUCUGUUGCAAACUAGCCGAGCACAAGAGCACAACGUCGCUGUGGAAUAGAGGUGUGAAUUGUCACUGAUCUCCCGAUUUGAUUCGAUUACGAUUAUCAUGUUUUUGAUUCGAUUCCUCGAUGCAUCACGAUGCUUCAAAUACAUUUUUCUAUUAAAGCCAUAUAGGAUAUUUGACUUGACGGAAUGCAUUAAGAUACCGUAUAGUUCAAUAUAAUACUGUUUUCUAUAUUACUUCAUAUGGUUGUUUUCAUCCAAAAAUACAAGUAGUAAGAUAUAACAAUCUUUUUUAUUUACCAGUCUGAACACAGCAGACAGCACACACACACACACACACACAUCUCCCGAUCGUGUCAUUAGACAGAGGGACAGUAUUCAGUGUCUCAGCACUUUUCUCACCUAUGAUUGUGACCAUGUCCGAUGCUGCCGGAGUAUUCGCUCCUCUGCUAUUGUGUGAUGGUUUUUUGCACCUUGCGAUGUGGCGGUGUGUGUACGGUGUGUUUUUAUUUACUGAUGCCGCACUCACUAAAUGACCGGCCUGUUGGCGAUACUCAUCGAGCUUUCGAUGAAAAAGUCCAGUGGUCUAUUGAUAUAACUGGGUGUAAGGUCUCCAAGUGCCGUCUUAAUUAGUUUGGUUUCAUGCUGUCCGCUGCCAGAGUUUUUAAACAUUAAACACACACAGGUCUUUCCUCAUUUCCGACCGUAUUCACGGUAAACCCAGGGCUAUGUAGGCUUCGUCAUAUUUCCUGCUCUUAUUAGGUUUCUGCCGGUUACCGUCACUUGCUGUUCUUGCCUCUGACGUCUCCUCCGUUUUUUUUUUUUACUCCUGUCAGAAACUUCUCCAUCUCUCCUCCUCCGUCAGUCCCCCCUACCUGUCGCGCCCCACUAUUUGAGAAGUACUGGUCUAGAUGAAACGGGUUAGGCUACUGAGAAUGUUAUUUUUCAUUUGAAUGUUUAUGCCGCGGCCGGAAAAUAAACAAGUGACAUCAUUGCGUUAUAAUUGAUUAUGGUCGGCCACAACAUCGAUGCAGCAUCGUCCAUGUCUGCAUCGUGAUGCAUCGCUUAUUUGAUUAAUUUCAACACUUCUACUGUGGAAAGAGAGCAAUAGAUAGUAAGUAAUCAUAAGGGAUCAAUCAUCUGAUCACGUGUGGUUUUCUAAAAGUUUUACCUCCAGUUUAUCUGCUGAUAGCUAAAUAUCUGUCCUCAGUGUGGAGCCACUCAGCUGUGAAUAAGAAGACACCGUAGGAACGUUAACGUUCCAUAAACUUUAUUUCUGAGGCAGAACACACACACAGCCUUUCACUGACAAUUCUACUGCAACCUGAACUUAUUCCACACUGUAAGUCUGACUACAGUAACGUUACUGUCCCUCACACAGCGGGAAACACUCACUGCCUACUGCUAACAGCUUACCCACAAUGCACCUGUCUUAAAGGGGAACACACAGUGCAGUUAGGCUGUGGCUGGAGGAAGGAUCAAUACUUUACUGAAGUAAAAGUAUUAAUACCACAGUGUGAAAACCCUCCACUACCAGUACAGUGGGGGGGGCAACAGAAGACUUUCCUCUGCUGCUCUAUCAGAUUGGACUAACUACCAACAAAUACCCAAUAUUAAAUGACUCAGACCAGGAUUGGGGCCAGAAACCUGAUCGGGUUAUAGAUACAGUUCUAUGAGUCAAACUAAAAUAACCAGAUAAAUAGCUUUAACUGACAAAAUGAAAACUAAACCAUGAGAAACCUCUCGACUUCCUGCCGAGACACAGCCCUCAUCAGAUUACACAGGGACUAAAUGGCUGGUUGUAACGUCCCUGGUUCUCCACACUGAUGCACUACUGCUCAUAAGAUACCCAGGUUAGUUACACACCUUCUUCAUGUCCACAGAGCACAUGUAGACUGGAAGGCCAAACACCCAAUAUCUGGUCCACUGAAUUAGAGGUCCAACAGAGCUUCCAGCAUCCUGGAAAAACGAUUUCCAGAAAAAAUCUUUUUCCCAAAGCCCACCCUCCCGUCCCUAUAUUAAAAUGUGUACCACUGUCCAAUAGUAUCCUCGGUCCGGGCCAGCAGUUCUCCUCCCCAGCUGGAAACAACCGGACUGAGCUCUGCCUCCGUCUCCUGUGUCGUCUGAUGGUUUACCAGAAUCUCUUUGAAGCCAACCAAAAGUUCUUCAGCGUAGCAUCCCCGAACUUUUCCACCUACAAAGUUGUCCUUAUGUGAUCCAAGAAGCAGCUCACCUUCUGGUCUCAGGAUACCUGUCUGCUGCUUCAGGAGUCCAGCGGGCACAGAUUACCUCCUUGGCACAGCUGCCAACUGCUGCCGUUCAGACACUGAUUGACAGAUGUAUUGUUGAUGACCAAAAUGGCCAAAACUGCUUUAGUCCUGUUUUGGUUUAAUUGUCUUAGUUCUUUUUUUAACCCUGGUUUGGGGCCACAUUAAGUGGUGCUUUUAGCUUUGAUUCAGUCCCAGAAGAAGAAUAUCUUUCUCUGUUUCACAACUACGUACUAAUUUCCUUCCAAUUACCACUGGGCAGGUAGCAUCCAAUCAGACUGUGUGAGACUGUCCACAGUAUUAUAUUGGGUCAACAAGUGCAGCAGGUCAAUCAUCUGCAUCAGUGUUCUUCACUAUAAUUUAACUCAAAGGAGCUUGUGUUUGUCUCUGUGUGGACAGACAUAAUGUGAGCUCAUUCUUCAUGAUUCCUCCACAGAGUGGACCAGGAGAGCUCAGAGGUUCCCAGUGGUCAGUCUGCCCAGCAGCAUCAAACACACCUGGACUCCAUAUUUAUGGUCUGUACAUGGACAACAACUACUUUUACAUCUAUUGUGUUCACAAUAAUCUCCAUGCUGCACUUUUUAGACCAGUGGAUUGUCAGUCUGUCCAACAUGGAUCUGAUGUGUGCUUCCAUGAUUUGACAUUGAUUGAGUCAUU
rnacentral:lncRNA from 1 species